rnacentral:rRNA from 1 species
CUCAUUAAAUCAGCUAUGAUUUCUUAGAUCUUACAUCCCUUACUUGGAUAACUGAAGUAAUUCUUGAGCUAAUACAUGCCAACAAAUGUUUCGGCUUUCGGGUCGGAAUGGACUUAUUAGUACAAAAUCAACCUGGUUUCGGCCAGUUGUUUUGUUGACUCAGGAUAAUUCUUCUGAUCGCACGGUCUCGUACCAGCGACGUAUCUUUCAAGUGUCUGCCCUAUCAACUUUCGAUGGUGGGUUAUAUGCCUACCAUGGUUAUUACGGGUGACGGGGAAUCAGGGUUCGAUUCCGGAGAGGGAGCCUGAGAAAUGGCUGCUACAUCUAAGGAUGGCAGCAGGCGCGCAACUUACCCACUGCUAGUGGCAGCGAGGUAGUGACGAUAAAUAACAAUACAGAACUCUUUUGAGGCUCUGUCAUUGGAAUGAGAACAAUUUAAAUCCUUUAACGAGGAUCAAUUGGAGGGCAAGUCUGGUGCCAGCAGCCGCGGUAAUUCCAGCUCCAAUAGCAUAUAUUAAAAUUGUUGCAGUUAAAAAGCUCGUAGUUGGAUCUCAGGUUGGUGUCGGCCAGUGCCUGCUUUGUAGGUUUCGGGCCGUCCCACCUUAUUAGCUGUAUGCGUCUAUCAGUGCUCUUUACUGAGUGCUGGUAGUGCUCAGCAUGUUUACUUUGAACAAAUUAGAGUGCUCAAAGCAGGCUUUUAUGCCGGAAUAAUUUUGCAUGGAAUAAUGGAAUAAGGCUCUGCCGCUAUUUUGUUGAUUUUCAGUAUUAAUGCAGAGUAAUGAUUAAAAGGAGCAGAACGGGGGCAAAAGUAUGGUCGCGAUAGAGGUGAAAUUCUUGGACCGUGGCCAGACUAACUACUGCGAAAGCAUUUGCCAAGGAUGCCUUCAUUAAUCAAGAACGAAAGUCAGAGGAUCGAAGACGAUCAGAUACCGUCCUAGUUCUGACUAUAAACUAUGCCAACAGGCCAUCGGGGCAUUUAUUAUGAUGUCCCGGCAGCCCCCAGGGAAACCUAGUGAGGUUCUGGGGGGAAUAUGGUCGCAAGUCUGAAACUUAAAGGAAUUGACGGAAGGGCACCACCAGGAGUGGAGCCUGCGGCUUAAUUUGACUCAACACGGGAAAACUCACCCGGCCCGGACACUGUCAGGAUUGACAGAUUGAUAGCUCUUUCAUGAUUCGGUGGAUGGUGGUGCAUGGCCGUUCUUAGUUGGUGGAGUGAUUUGUCUGGUUAAUUCCGAUAACGAACGAGACUCUAGCCUGCUAAAUAGUGCAGAUAUAUCCUGUUCUCUUCGGAGUCUGGAUUGUGCUUGAUCACUUCUUAGAGGGAUUGGUGGCAUUUAGUCACAUGAAAUUGAGCAAUAACAGGUCUGUGAUGCCCUUAGAUGUCCGGGGCCGCACGCGCGCUACAAUGAUAGUGGCAAAAAGUCUCUGAGCCGAAAGGCUUGGGUAAUCUUUUAAACACUAUCUCGUCAGGGAUCAGGGUUUGUAAUUAUCCCCUGUGAACGAGGAAUUCCUAGUAAGCGCAAGUCAUCAACUUGUGCUGAUUAUGUCCCUGCCCUUUGUACACACCGCCCGUCGCUACUACCGAUUGAAUGGUUUAGUGAGGUUAUUGGACCGGGAUCACGGAGCUGCUUGCAGUUCAGGUGUUACUGGGAAGAGAAUCGAACUUGAUCAUUUAGAGGAAGUAAAAGUCGUAACAAGGUUUUCGUAGGUGAACCUGCAG